AAAUGGGCAGCAAACGACUUUGUAAUAAGUUGAUUUAGUGAUUAAUCGACAUGCGAUAUCAUUCACAAUGGCAACUCGAUUACUAUGAAGUCGACAAUUAAAUACUUGCACUGAUUUUACAGUAGUAUGUCAAAAGAACAAAUUCUGACAACCCGCAAAUCGUACCAAGAGUAAUAUGUCGUAGAAAAACGCGAAAAGAUCACCACAGAUCUUAAAAUGAUAAACCUGAAACGUUUCUUAGCGAUAUUGUUUCACUCGUAAUCGGAGUUUGCAGUAUUGUAAAAGCACAAUUACAAAUCAAGAAGGGAAGUCGAGAUUUUUUAUAAACGGGAUCAAAACAACUACCCAGCCAAAAUGACAAUGAAUUACUUCAAAAAAGAUGAGCUUUUUUUCAAAACAAAAAUUGUUAGAAUGAAUGAAAUCCAAUCUAAUUGACUAAAUUGAAGGUUUAAAUAGGUGGUUAGUCUUCGGCACGUUUAUGUAUUAACUACGGAUGCCAAUUGUAGGGUAGCGAGCGGGAGAAACGUCAUAA